rnacentral:rRNA from 1 species
GUGAGGAAUAUUGGUCAAUGGGCGGAAGCCUGAACCAGCCAAGUCGCGUGAGGGAAUAAGGCCCUACGGGUCGUAAACCUCUUUUGCCGGGGAGCAAGGGCGGGGACGUGUCCCGGCCCGGAGAGUACCCGGAGAAAAAGCAUCGGCUAACUCCGUGCCAGCAGCCGCGGUAAUACGGAGGAUGCGAGCGUUAUCCGGAUUUAUUGGGUUUAAAGGGUGCGCAGGCGGCACGGCAAGCCGGCGGUCAAAUCGCGGGGCUCAACCCCGCCCAGCCGUCGGAACUGCCGGGCUAGAGUGGGCGAGAAGUGCGCGGAAUGCGUGGUGUAGCGGUGAAAUGCAUAGAUAUCACGCAGAACUCCGAUUGCGAAGGCAGCGCACCGGCGCCCUACUGACGCUCAGGCACGAAAGCGUGGGUAUCGAACAGG